GGCCAGGUAGCUCAGUUGGUAGAGCAGCGGACUGAAAAUCCGCGUGUCGGCGGUUCAAUUCCGUCCCUGGCCACCA
rnacentral:tRNA from 5 species